rnacentral:lncRNA from 1 species
CAGCCUUGCCCUGUCUGAUCUCCUCUUUGGCAAUAUCUAGCUUGCUCUGACAGCCUCUGAGCAUUUACAAACUUUAUUGUCCUUCUCUGAUAUUCUGAACUUUUCUGAACCUCUCUGACAUUCUACGACCUUCUCUUCUUUUCUUACAUCUUGUCUCUCAUUUAUAUUUUUAUUGUUCUUGGAACUGCAUUUUUCUGACUUCUCCUAUCUGACCAUUUCUCUUCUUCAUCCUUCACUAAUUUUAUCCUCUCUGGUUUUAUCUUCUAUGACCUUUUUUUUUCCCCACCUGACAUUGUUUUUCAUGACUUUCUCGUCCCUGACCUUUUUUAUUUAAAUUUGUUCUGCUCUUUCACCUUCAGAGUGUAGCUAACAGAGCAGCUGACAGACAGCAGUUUGCAUAGUAGUCUCUGGUUCUGCUUUGGAAACUUCAGAAUCUUCUGUGUCCCUGAGAAACAGGAAUGGACCACAUGGUUUCCAGAGGUCCUUUACAACCUAAAACAUUCUGUGGGCAAGAAAAGUAUGCCAGUUAUACUGUUUGGUCUGCUCAGUAUACAGACAAAAGUCAGUGACAUUAAAAUGAGCUUCCAAAUUAUUCACCCUGAAUUGAAGUUUGCAUAUUCCCUAGGCUUCUACAUUUACAUCUACAGAUGCUUCUGGACGUCUGCCCACAUCUGCUGUCUAAUCUCCCUUGGAUAAUUUCUAGUUUCUCCAUACAUCUCCUGAAACAGAAUCAUCAUUCUGGGAAUGCAACAAGAGCUUUGUAAGUGCAGCACACACUGAGAGAACUGUGUCUUGUGCCUCAUUAUCUGCGCUCUGGAUUUCAUAAUUAGCUACUCAGUUUUUCAAAGUAUUGCUCUUUUUAUACUGUGAUGCUAAUCAUAAGAUGUUUAUGCUCUGGAUGCUCUUUCACAGAAAUGCAGCACAAUCAGUUGUUGGAUUUCAAACAUGCAUGCUCUUGAUUGCUAUUAUUCCCAUGUAUUGAAUUUGCAACUUUCCCUUCACUCAUUCUAGAAUAUUUUUCCAAUAGAUUCAGUUCAAUUAGUUUGUUUGUUUAUUCUGGGGGGGGGGGGGGGGGGGGGNNNNNNNNNNNNNNNNGGGGGGGAAAGAGAAGGGAGGAGGGAGGAGGUCAAGAGCCCUUUUGAGUCAAGACAAUGUAAUAUGCAGAUCCCUCUGGUGUUCACUACUUCACCUGAUGCUAUCUUAUCAAGAGCAACAGGAUUCUUCUCAAACUCCAGGCUAAGCUAAUCAUGACUAAGAAGCUGAAUAGAUGUAACCUGAAUUGUGGUUUUGGAAGGAUGUGACUAAGUCUUCCUCCACAAUUUCUGAUAGGUAAAGAUUUAUUUUAUGCUGUCCUAUGCAGUCAGCUUUCUAUGCUCUGCUAGCCUGGGCUGACAGUGACAAUGUGAUAGCACCAGGUUGCUCACUGCAUUGUUCUUUAAUCAACUUAAAACUUCGUUGUCAAUUCCCGUGAAAGCAGAUGAUUGCAAGACACGCUUUUCCUUGCAUUUGCAGGUAAUUAAAGUAGCCAGGAGUGACUUGUUGAAACAGUGCAUUUAGCAGCCAUCAGCCAUUUAAAAUCCCAGAAAUAGGUAGAGGAUUAUUGUAUCACCUAUCUUUUGUCACUCCCAGUAAGAUCUAUGAUUAUUAUUUCAUUUCCAAACACUGAUAAUUCAACAGACAUAGUAAAGAAGAGCUGAAAUGACAAGAGUGUUGGGUUGGACAGGGCUUCCAUUAACAGAAAAAACAACAUUUAUAUACAUAUAUAUGUCCUUUAUGUUGGUACUCUGAAUUCUGUGAACAUAGGCUGAAAUAUGAGCCCUAGAUAUCUGAACUCAUUCAUUUAGCCUUAGCAAAUACACUUAGAAAUAUUUAGAUUGCAGUGUUUGGAAAAUAUUUGUUCUUGACAAUUGUGCUGAAACCUUCACAUUUUGGCUAUCAGAGUACCUUAUUCAUCUGUAAAGUGUAUGCUUUAACAAAUUAUAAUUAACAAUUAUUGUAUUCAGCAGCAAUCUUUUUCUCAUUAAAACAAAAGACCAGGCCUGAGCCAACCUGACCAAAGCAUUUGAUCAGAAACAGGAAAUGUUUAAAAUAGCUUGACAUUUUAACCAAAAAACCUUUUGCAGCUGGUGAACAUUUAAAACAAGGUUAGCCUGAAAGAGCCUAGAGGUUCAGACUGGUUGCUGGUUUCUUGCUGGCUAUGGUUUCUCUGAGUGCUCUUUUUGGGUGUUUUGUCCAAAUACUGCCUCAUAGCAGCUGCUAAUUAAGGAUCAUCCUGCGUGAAAGUCCAUGUUUGUUUUCUGUAGUGUCAAUAAUAAAGGCUAGAGAUGAGCUUUAAUUCUGUACUUG